rnacentral:rRNA from 1 species
CUCGUAGGCGGUUCGUCGCGUCCGGUGUGAAAGUCCAUCGCUUAACGGUGGAUCUGCGCCGGGUACGGGCGGGCUGGAGUGCGGUAGGGGAGACUGGAAUUCCCGGUGUAACGGUGGAAUGUGUAGAUAUCGGGAAGAACACCAAUGGCGAAGGCAGGUCUCUGGGCCGUCACUGACGCUGAGGAGCGAAAGCGUGGGGAGCGAACA